rnacentral:SRP_RNA from 1 species
GCCGGGCGUGGUGGCUGCACCUGUAGUUCUAGCUACUCAGAAGGCUGAGGCAGGGGGGUCACUUCAGCCCAGAGUUCUGUGGGUGUCUGCACUAAGUUUGGCAUCAAUAUGGUGACCUCCUGGGAAUGGGGGCCCCAAGUUGCCUAAGAAGGGAUGAAGCAGCCCAGGUUGGAAAGGGAGCAGGUGAGAACUCCCAUACCGAUCAGUAAUGGGGUCAUGCCUGUGACUGGCCAUGCACUGCAGCCUCGGCAACACAGCAAGACCCUGUCUCU